CAUAGAGUACCGCACUUUAAAAUCAUAUUAUAUUUGUUUUUACUUUUUAUACAAAUUAGAUUAUUGUAGUUCGUAAAUAAUUGCAUUUAUUAGAUAGUUGACAAGUAGAAGUUGACAAGUAGAAUUUGACUAAUGAUGCUUAUUUCAGAAAAAUAAUAGAUAAGUACAGGUUAUAUCGGAAGGCAAUGUUAAAAUCGUAAAUAUACCAUACAACACAAAAGUUUCUUUGUCGGAUACGGGACGUAAAUUGACGUAGUUUGUAUAAAAUUAUUGCUGAAAAUGAAUUCGGCGAGGACGAAGCUACUGUUGAAGUGAUCAUUCUGUGUCCUCCAACAAGACCUCAAGUUCUUCUGAAAGUGAAAGAUGUUAAAAGCAGUGGGGCCUAAGUCAAAUGAGACAAACCAACGGAUGAAAAAUAUUUUGAAGUAAACAUCGAUAUCAUAUUGUAUGUAAACCACUGAUCAAUCGUGAAUAACUACAGAAGGUGGUCGUAUGAGUGGGUCAAAUUGUGAAGUUUGACGUAGACGUACGUGGUGAACCUCUACCAAUUUAUGAUAUGGUCCUCGGGCAAUAAAUAAUUGAUAAAUGGACGUUCAGUGAAAAUGAAAAAUGAAGAUUAUAAUACAAAACUAAAUUUAUCUGAAAAUACUAGAAAAAAUACUGAAGUCUAUACCUAGUUUAUGAGCAAAAAAUGCUUCAGGUUUUGUUUAUUAUUUUAGAUAAACCUGGACCCCCAGUUGGGCCACUUGAAGUCACAGACGUACAUAAAGAAAUAUGUACAUUACUCUGGAAUAAACCUAAGGAUGAAGGUGGAUUGCCAAUUACUGGGGAAUUAUUUGCGAAAAUGGAUACCACAACUAGAAAAUGGGUGCAUGCAGGUUUUGUUGAUCCAACAAAAACUGAACACAAAAUAAACGAUCUGGAACCAAAUAGAAAGUAUCAUUUCAAAGUGGAAGCCUUAAACGAGGAAGGAGAAUCCGAACCAUAUGAUUCUGAUGCUAAGAUAGUUCCAAAAAAUCCUUAUGAUACGCCUGGUCCUCUGGGAUUAUCGAAAGUUACUGACUAUGAUAAAAAUAUGGUAGAAUUAAAAUGGGAUGCACCGUUUAGGGAUGGCAGAGCUCCAAUUACAGGAUAUAUAAUCGAAAUGAAGAGCCGAUAAUUUGAUAGUUCAUUCGUAAAGCUGCUGAAGUUACGAGAAAUGUCUGCAAAAGUAAAAUUCCAAAAUUAGAAAACGGACAACAAUACCAAUUUCGAGUACGUGCUGGUGAACCUAGCGAAGAGUCUCUUCCUCAUAUUGUCAAAGCCAAAUUCAUGACCUAACCAAGAAAAGAGAACAAACUUAUAAAGCUUGGUCAUGAAAGUAGGACAUACAAAAUUAAUUUAAUUUACGUGAACAUAAGUGGAGAACCUGUACCUACAGUCACAUGGUCAUUUAAAGACGCUAAACUAACUACAGGCAACUCACUGGAAAUCAAUAACAUGGAAUACCAUACAAAAUUAAUGAUCAUUACGGUUUUGCGGGUUCAUAGUGGUUUAUACACAAUUAAAUCUAUAAACUCAGUCGGAAAAGACACAGCCACUUUUGAUAUUAUUAUAUUAGAAAAACCAACUAAGCCAGGUGUCCGUUUGAAGUAACUGAUGAGACGAAAAAUGGAUGCAAAUUAAAAUGGAAGAAGCCAUAGGAUGACGGUUGCACGCCUAUAGAGUAUUAUGAAAUAGAAAAACUUGAUCCAUUAAUUGGUCAAUGGAUACCAUGUCGUAAAUCAAGCGCAUCAGAAGCAAACAUAACUGGUUUACAGGAAGGUAAAUAAUAUAAAUUCCGUGUGAGGGCAGUCAACAAAGAAGGAGAAUCAGAUGAUCUAGAAGCUGAUAAAUUCAUAGUAGCAAUGCAUCCAUUUGUCCAAUGUGAGUUAAGGGCUCUCAAGUAAUUGCUGAUGUGAACAGUGGAGUUGUUCCUGAUAACAGAAGGAAUUCAGUAUGAGUUUAGGCUGCGCACAGUAAAUAAAGCUGGACCUGGUGAAGCAAGUGAACCAACAUUACCUUGCUGAACUCAAAAAGUAGGCCCCACCAUAUUGAUAGGAACACUCUCUUGGACAUCAAAGUUCAGGCUGGAAACAUGUUUGAAUUUUAUGUUAAAGUGUCUGGAGAACCUCCUCCAACUAAAGAAUGGUCUCUUAGUGGAGACUUGCUAGUAAAAACUGAGAGCAUUAAUAUAAUAAAUCAAGAUCACUCGACAAAACUGAAAGUUAUUGAUGCCAAGCGUUCUGACGACAAAAUUUAUUACUUGGUAGCAAUAAUGGAAUGAACAAAAUUGCAGUAAAAGUUACAACUAUAGAUGUACCACAACCACCCGAGGGACCUUUACAUCCAGUAUGUAACGAGAAAUUCAUGUGUGUUAAAAUAGAAUCCACCAAAAGAUGAUGGUGGAUCAGAAGUCACACUACAUAGUUUCCUUAGGAGAAAGCUGCGACAGUAAACGGAAAUAAAACCAUUGCCUCAGUCCCGGAUCUUACUGAAGGCCGUGCAUAUGAAUUCCGAGGUAUAGCUGUAAAUAAAAGUGGCCCUGGGGACCCCAGUGAUGCAUCUGAACUAAUAAACAUGUAAACCAAAAUUCUUUGAACCAGUAAUAGAUUUAUACUUGAUCUGAUAGUACGUGCUGGUAAUAAAAUAAAUUACACUUAUCCAAUUGAGGCAGCUCCUGACCAACAGUGAAAUUGAAUGUUAAUGAAUCACCAAUUGAUAGUGGCUCUAGAGUGGAUUAGCAAAAUUAUAACAGUCGAGUUAUAUAUGAAAUACCGUUUUCAGUACGGAAUGACACUGUCAGUUACACACUAACAUUAAAAAAUAACUUGAUUUAUAUGUUUUUUAAUGAUUUACAAAUUCCCAAAUUAAAUUAACAGUGAAUUACAAUUUAUUUAUAAUUAUUUUCAAUUAAUUUUGAAUUUUUUCGUAUUAAGUUUGGGGCCUGAUUCUUCUACGUUUAUUAAUAGUAAAUAUUGGGCUCAGAACCGAAAGAUGCUAUCUCAAAAUAUAUUAUUCAGGAGAACUGUAACUGUAUUAUCUUUUUUUGUUACAAAUUUUAAUUAUUUAACAAUUCACAAAGUUGUUAUAUGUUAACAUUGGUAAUUUGUUUUGUUUUUCUUAAUGUGAAAAAACAAAACUAAAAAAGUUCUGAUAGAAAUCAAAAAGAUCUUUAAAUAGAACCUUUUAGCUGCUAAUGUAAUUGUUUUCACUUAAUUAGAACUUUUUCAUUCUGAAUUAAAGCUUUAUUUUUACUGAAACGUUCCUAACCUCAAAAUAAUAAAAAAUGUGGCAAUGGCUUUUCAUUUAAAUAGAUUCCUAUUUACAAUGCAGUACUUUGGAGGGAGGGGGUUAAGGGUUCAACUUAUCAGAUUGUGUAAUCUUACAAAUAAUGAUGGAUAACUUUCUAAACAAGAAGAGAAUUGAGAAAUUGAUCAUCAAACCUGCGUGUUAAAAAUAAGUGGAUUUUUAAAAAAAUCAAUCUAGCACCUUUAUAUUCUGAGCCCUCACAAAAGCUUAUCAAAAAUAAAUAUAAAUAAUAAGUAGUUUGAUAUUUUCGUUACAGCUAAUAAUAGUUUAUACCAACUUUUUAUAGAAUAUUGUUGAUAUUCUGUGAGCCAAAUAAUAUUAUUAUGCAUACUGCUAAUUUUCAGUUUUUACUCAACACAAUAAAAGUUAUUAUAAUGGUAACCAUAAAAUAUAUUAUUCCAAGAAUAAAGAAACUGUACAAACAUUUAUUUAUUAUUUUGUAAUAAAUUGUAAAACAAUAAUUUUGAGACUCGUUUUAAUAUUAUAUCUAAUAUUAUUUAUUGCCUCAAUGAUGUUAGAUCGUAGGUAAAUUGGUUAGGUAGCAAAAAAUCACGUGACAUCCAAAAAAUAAACUAUGUUUUUAACUAUAAUUUAUAAAAAAAGCGUAAAAAUUCAUAGAAAUCGAAAAAAAAAAUGUAACCAGUUUGAUGUUAGUGAGACCUAUUUUUUUUAUUAUAUACAGGUUUUUUUAUUGAAAUACAAUUUAUGACAAAAUCUAUUUUUAAUAUAAAAUCUAAGUAGAACAAAAAAAAAUUUUGAUUGAAUAAAAAAAGCUUAAUUGAAUAAAAAAAAUCUAUAUUCAAUAAAAUAAAUCUUGAUUAAAUUAAUCAAACCUAAAUAGAAAUAAAAAAAUUCGAAAUAAAAAUCAAAAAAUAUUAAUAAAACAUGUUUGACAAAUAAAU